rnacentral:rRNA from 1 species
UUCUUUAAAUGGGGACUUGAUAUCAACGGCACCACGAGGGUUAGACUGUCUCCUUUUUCAAAUCAGUGAAAUUAAUCUCCCCGUGAAGAAGCGGGGAUACUCAUAUAAGACGAGAAGACCCCAUGGAGCUUCAAACCCAACUACACCCCUAGCUCUUAUAGCCCCACAACCCCCCCCCCCCC